rnacentral:rRNA from 1 species
UACGUAGGGUGCAAGCGUUGUCCGGAAUUAUUGGGCGUAAAGGGCUCGUAGGCGGUUUGUCGCGUCUGCUGUGAAAACUCGGGGCUCAACUCCGAGCUUGCGGUGGGUACGGGCAGACUAGAGUGCGGUAGGGGAGACUGGAAUUCCUGGUGUAGCGGUGGAAUGCGCAGAUAUCAGGAGGAACACCGGUGGCGAAGGCGGAUCUCUGGGCCUUACCUGACGCUCAGGUGCGAAAGCUAGGGGAGCGAACAGG